GUUUUCAGCGUCUCGAGAACUCUGGACUAUGGAGGUCUGUGUCGCAGCUUUGAUGAGAGCUACAUUUGCAAAUAAAAAGGAAGCGAGGACAGCAAUACCUGCUCUUCGAGUUCAAUAAUAUUACAGAAAAGUAGAAGUUUCCCACUAUUCGAAUGCUAUUUUAUAAUUGUUGAUACUAAUGUGUAGUAAUUAAUUAAUUAAUAUUUAGACUAUUCUUUCAAGUAAAAUGCUGUUCCACUCAAA
rnacentral:misc_RNA from 1 species